GACGAACGCUGGCGGCGUGCUUAACACAUGCAAGUCAGGGGGCGGGGUAACCCGUCACCGGCGAACUGGUGCGGCACACGUGAGCGACCUGCCCUGGUGUGGUGGCUAGCCGGCCCAACGGCCGGGUAAUACCUCAUACGGCUCCCGCUUGGAAGCGCGUGGCGAAACUCGCAAGAGGCGCUAGGUGGGGCUCGCGGCCUAUCAGCGCGUUGGUGCGGUAACGGCGCACGAAGGCGAUGACGGGUGGCUGGUCUGAGAGGAGGGCCAGGAAGAUUGGGAGUGAGAGACGGCCCAGACUCCUACGGGAGGCAGCAGUGGGGAAUAUUGCGCAAAGGGUGAAAGACUGAGGCAGCGACGCCGCGAGGAGGAUGGGGUGCGUCGGGGUGGAAACUGGUGUGGACCGGGACGAAGGCCCCGAAUCGGCGGGGGUGACGGUACCGGGUGAAGAAGCACCGGCUAACUCUGUG
rnacentral:rRNA from 1 species